GGUUUUCGAGUGAUGGGGUCUCUCAUUCGUGAAUGUGUUGGGUUUCAGCAAUUUCCAGUGGCUACCCAGGAAAAGCUGAUUGAAUAUUUCGGUGUUUUUUUGGUAAACAAAGGCAUGUUGUUCCUAUUUCUUUGGUGCUUAAGUCGGUUUCUCGGAUUCUCCGUUGUGAUUAGGAGAUAAUGGGUUUUUGUAAUUGCAGAAUAUGAACUCAAUGGCAGUUGUUGUUCUGGGUGAAGGCGGUGUCGGAACAUCACCCACUCUCUUAUCGGCGGACAAGUCGUCCGUGUCAGUCCUUUCCAGGUUUCUUGUGAACAGAACCAUAGAUGUCUUGCUCUAUGUUGAUCGUUUGGAUGUGUAAAGAGUCCAUGAGCUAGAUAAGCAAGUUGUUAAAGCAAUCACCCAAACCUUUGAAAAUGUUAUAUAGUGCAAAACCUUGCUUGUUCUGACUGCUCAAUUUUUCCCUCCGGAUGAACUUUCCUACGAAAAUUUUUCCACCAAGAGAUCAGAAUAUCAGAUUCUCACCUCAAAACUAUCUGUGCUGGUUCGAAGAUGUGAAAACAAGAAUUUGAGGAAUCUGGCAAUCACGGCAGUCUAUGUAGAGAACAUUUGAAGAUUCAGCAAGAACUAUAAGGAUGAAAAGCUUUGGGUUUUAAAAGUUACCUACCUACUCUUUUGUCUUAGGCUCCUUCCGAAUGGUGAAGUGUGGAUCCCGAACUUGGUUAAUCAAUAACUGAUUAGCAACAAACCAGAGGGAAGCAAUUCAUGUAAACAAGAAGAUGGUAGAUGGAUCUUACUCUGAUGAUUAAGGAAAGAAACUCAUCCUUCUUAUCAUCGACGCUCAGGUAAGAAAGAAACACAGUUUGAUUUACUGUGGCCAGACAGUAAAUAAUCAUCUUAGGUUAUUUCCUUGAUUAUGCAAGCAAACUUUUUCUCUGAUUUGAUUGCAUAUCUAACAAGAAAGAACUUGGAACAAUUUGAUUUUGGUGACGAAUCUGAUUUUGCUCAAUAUACUUUGUUGUUGCUUGAGUAGUUUUGAAGACCUAUACGUCAUGAUAUUGUAGUUUUGCUAUAUUUGGCUUCAAAAUUUUACGGAGGAUUACUACUCAAUAGCUAUAUGAGGAUCAUAACGUUUAAGUUCCUGAUUCUCCCGAGGAGAGAAUUUGCUUCAUUAAGAAAAGAUGGAUUCACAUGCAUAUCUACUCAGUAAAGUGGGUCAGAUGAUGAGGUUACAUUCACCAAUGCAUCUUGAAAUAGUCUGUUUUGGUGACAUUAUUUUCCUAUUGAGGAGUUGUACUUAUGUUUUUUAUAAUUUGUCCUAACUCCUAACUAACUAAUUGAUCGUUAUGAACAUUAUGGUGCUCUAUUUAGAAGAAGAAAUUUUAUUACCAAUGGGUCGGUAACUUGAUUGGUGAGCAUAAUAAAAAAUGAAGUAAAAAGAUGAUUUUUAUGCAAAAGAAAUAAAUGAAUAUGCAGAUUAAUUAAGUAUAUCUAAGCUAAGAAAACAAGUAAUUUGAAAAAUGUUUCGGGCGCUAUCUUUAUUACUAAUAUUAACUUGUGACAGUAACUUAACUAAACUAUCCAAGAACAUUAAGUUGAAUAUGCUUAGAUUGAACAUGCAAGAUAUUUUUAAUAACGACGGUGUGAGAUAAUAUAUUUUGUGUAAAAAAAAAUCGAAACUUUCAUCGUCUCACAAUCUAAGCAUAUGACAAAAACAAAACAAAAAAAAUAAAAUAAGAAUUGAAUCAAAGAGCUCAGACUCUUGAACAACAACAAAAAAGAACUCAAGGUCAUUGGUUUUUCAUAUGCACUAAUAUAGCUGGACUUUUUAAAGACAGUUACAAGUUAUAUUUACAUUCA